CGAGUUUGUCGCGAGACGCGUACAGAUCUCACCGACCGCCGAAAGAAGACGAUGAGUCGCUAAUGGCGACAAGAGUGAGUUUUGACAGCAAAAAGAGAAGCGUAGAACAUCGUUCGCCAUGGUAGCCUGUGCUCCCUGCGGCCGUCCUCUUUUGCUUUGCUUCUACUUCAACCUACCUCCCUCCAACUCAUUCUCUUCCAUAAAAUAGAUUAGAUUGCCUCCGCUUGCUUUUUCCCACUCCCGCACACAAAAAGAAGGUCCAAAGUGCUCAUGGAGGUCUCGGGCCGCGUCUCGUCUGGGAGAAACUCGUUGCCGCUGCUGCCGAGGUCGCCGGCGAGGAGGAGGGGGGAAGGCGGAGGAGGAGGAGGAGGAGGGGCAGAGGAGGCAGGCAUGGAGGCGCUUGGGAGGCUGGUGAGGCGAGUGAAGCCCUUCGAGCAUGUCGGCCUUCUGGGGUUCGUCGUCUUCACCGCCGUCCUGUUCCUCUCGCUGCUCUGCUUCGCCCACUUGGACUACAGCUGGGUGUGGCCCGGUGGCGGAGGGUAUCGGGGGUUAUGGAUCUCUGGGACGAAGGGUGGCGGUGGGGAGAGAGGGAAGAGCCACGGCGGCGGCGGUGGAGAAUGCGAUUGGUCCGAGGGGGGGUGGGUGUGGGACGAGGGGUAUCCGUUGUACGAGUCCAAGGACUGUGGUUUCAUGGACGAGGGUUUCCGCUGCUCGGAGAACGGGCGACCCGAUCGAUUCUACACCAAGUGGCGGUGGCAGCCCGCUGGCUGUGAUCUUCCCAGAUUUAAUGCAAAGAAGAUGCUGAAGAAGCUAAGGAACAGAAGGUUGGUGUUUGUUGGUGAUUCGAUAGGGAGGAACCAAUGGGAGUCCCUCCUCUGCAUGCUUUCCAUGGUGGUUUCUAACAAGAGCUCGAUCUAUGAAGUCAAUGGUAGCCCAAUUACAAAACAUAUGGGAUUCUUGGUUUUCAAAUUUGAAGAAUACAAUUGCACUGUGGAGUAUUACAGGUCACCGUUUCUGGUUCUCCAGAGCCGUGUCCCACCAGGGUUACCGGAGCAAAUUAAGACUACACUUCGACUGGAUGUCCUGGAUUGGACAUCCACCAGGUGGAAAGAUGCUGAUGUGCUUGUCUUUAACACCGGGCAUUGGUGGAACUACGAGAAGACUGUCAGAGGGGGUUGCUACUUCCAAGAAGGUAAUGACGUGAAGAUGGAGAUGAGUGUUGAUGAUGCUUUUCGGAGAUCAAUUCGAACAUUAUUUGAAUGGAUCCAUAAAGAAGUCGAUAAGAGCAAGACUCAUGUUAUCUUUCGCACUUACGCUCCUGUUCAUUUCAGAGGUGGGGACUGGAAAACAGGAGGGAGUUGCCACUUAGAAACACUUCCUGAUCUAGUUUCAUCUACAGUAUCAUCAAAAGCAUGGGCUCAUCUGUUGGAACCGUUUAGGAAUAUGCCCUCGUCAAAUUCAACUAUGAAUCAGGCACUAGAGUUGGAUCUGCUGAACAUAACCCAGAUGACAGCUCGAAGGAGAGAUGGCCAUUUAUCAGUAUUCUACCUUGGUUCUUCGGGACCUGCCCCCCUCCACAAGCAGGAUUGCAGCCACUGGUGUUUACCCGGGGUUCCAGAUACAUGGAAUGAGCUACUCUAUGCACUCAUUUUGAAAUGGGAGUUGCAGAAGCAUCAAAAUAUGACCUUCUUGAGCACAGCCAGAGUAGAGCUGGUACAGUAAAGUUCAGCUGUCAAGACUGCUAACUUGCACAAAGCUUAUACAGGACAGGUUUGCCAUUUAUCUUUGUGGAAACCCUUGUUGGAACUCUGGACCAUCAGAAAGCUUCUGAUGUAAAGUUCUGCUGUCAAGAGUGCUAACUUGCACAAAGUCUCUACAGGACAGGUUUGCCAUUUAUCUUUGUGGAAACCCUGUUGGAACUCUGGACCAUCAGAAAGGAUUACUGGCAUAUAAUUUCCAUAUACCUGUCGAUACAGAUUGCUCAUAGUAGCUCAUUACAGUAGCAACAGAAGAGAUGGAUACACUUCACUUACUAUCUUGUAAGUUGGUAAUUGUUGUUCUGGUUGUAAAGCAACAGCAGUGUGUUCUACAGAUGGCACUUAAUAGGAGUUUUGGAAAGGCUGUGAAGGAGCUACAUAGGAAUCAUAUAUUGAUUUUUCAUGCUGUGUAAGCUUUUUGACUUGGAGCUCUCCAGCAUAGUUUGUGGAGGAAAGUUGUUCUUUUGCUUGAGCUAAUUUAUUUCAGCAAGCCAUUAGUGUAUGAAGUAUCACUGCUACCAUUUCAGCUUUCUUGAGUUAAAAGCCUUUGCAACUUAAUGCCUUCUAAUUGUUUCUUCACGCAAACUCUCUGUAAGUGUGAUGACGAAAUUUUAACUCAUGUCUUCAUCUUUGUUAUGUAGCAUCUCAUCAUCUGUUUAAGAACUUGCUGUAGCAAACUCUCUUCAUUGCACGUCUCAGGCAGUUGCAGAGUCGGAGUUUCACGUGCCAAGGGAAGCGGAUAGCUCUCAUGCAAUAGGGUUGUAGAUGAAGAAGACGUGGGCAGUUGGUGAUUAGGAGAGGCCAUGAGCGGCGCCGCAGAGCGGCCGUGAGAGUUGACUCGGUGGAGACGGCACUCGAACAACCCGGCGUGCGUGGCCGGAGCGCACACGCACUUUGUCGCCGGCGGAGGAGACGGAGGACCAUUUCCUCCUCUGGGUCCGUGGCGAAGGAGUUGCCCGCUGAUGCUGGUUGCACUCGCGGCCGUGGUGCUGGUGCUGCUGUUCCUUGCCUGCUUCCGUAGCAGCGACGAAGGUGGACGCCAUGCUACCGGCGAGACUUCCCUAGGUGUUCAAUAUCGAGAUCUCGAACCAAAAACCGAUAGUUCGUGUGCAGAGCACUAGAAGAAUGAUCACUCGAAUGAAGAGUCACGAAGAUGAAAUGUGUUGGUGAACAAAUGUGUCGUGCGUCAGCGUGGCGUGGUCCACGGGUCGAUGUCGGGAGUCUUCUGUCCGUCGAGCUGGAUGCAGAGGUUGACCGGGCCCUCACGACGGGUCUUGAUCGGCGUCUGGCUCCUCGUGGGGACGUCGAUCGACGAUUUUCGAGGUUGGGACGCUCACAGGUAGUGAGUGGUCGUUUUCCUGUAAAAAUGACCUUCGUCAGGUGAUUCCCGACUUUGGCCCCUC